CGGAAGCAGUGAUGUGAAGCAAAACCCGAAAAAGCAGUCACAGUUCGGAUUGAAGGCUGAAAUUCGCCUUCAUGAAGCCGGAAUUGCUAGUAAUGGCAGGUCAGCAUACUGCCGUGAAUACGUUCCCGGGCCUUGUACACACCGCCCGUCACACCAUGAGAGUUGGGGAUACCCGAAGCCUGUGAGCCAACGAAAGAGGCAGCAGUCGAAGGUAGAAUCAAUGAUUGGGGUGAAGUCGUAACAAGGUAUC
rnacentral:rRNA from 1 species